AUGAUCGAGGUGGGCGACUACGGGGAAAUCCUGUCAGAUGAUACAAUACAUGCACUGCAACUGCUAGACACACCAGCAGCUCAAGAACCAGAGUGUUGCUCACUAUCCCAUCAUGCCGUCUCCGGUGAGGAAGCCCCCUCCACCAUGCGUCUCCGAGCGCAAGUAGGAGAUCAAGUGAUGAUGUUGUUAGUUGAUUCAGGCAGUACCCAUAGUUUCGUCAGUGAGUCCUUUCUCUCGAGGUUGUCUGUCCAAACUGAACCCCUGCCGCCUGUCUCUGUCCGGGUAGCGAAUGGCCAACGUCUGCAGUGCGACAAGAUCGUCCGAUCCUUGCCAUGGGAAGUGCCAGGACACACCUUCCACACCAAUCUGCGAGUACUGCAACUCAGUGCGUAUGAUGGGGUUCUCCGAAUGGAUUGGCUGUCGCAGCACAGUCCUAUGAACUGCCACUGGCAACUGAAGACGAUUUCCAUCCUGGUGGGUGAUAAAACAGUGCACCUCUAA
rnacentral:rRNA from 1 species